UCCCUUGCCCAAUCAAACCACCACAGCCUCUAACUUCACUACCCAUCUGCCCAUGAACCAUCGCUCUGAUCUACUGUCUCGGGGGCCUCCCUCACUGCCGGCAGCCUCCACUGACUUCCUGUUGGAUCUGAUUCUGAGACAUCUUGAGGAGUUUUGCAUCAGGAAAUUAGCAUGAGCUCAGCGUGACACCAUUUGUUUCGGAGUUCAGCCAUUCUAGUAUGGAAAUGAUUGGCAUCUAAGUCAUGGCUACCAAGGAAAGCUUUACAUACCCCCAUGUCAACAAAUUUUAGUUUGUGUGUAG